rnacentral:lncRNA from 1 species
CUGGAGUGAGGGAUUAUGGGAAGGCCAAGCUAUUGCCGUCCAGUGUGUCCCGACACAAGGUUUACCGGCAGUAUGCUGAUGCUGGUAGGGAACAUACUCUCUGUGAAAGUCCUACUUGUGCAAAUAGAGUAUGGAAGAGUAAAAGUAAAAGCGCAUUCUCUAUCUCAGGAUUUAAAUAAAGAAGUUGCCUUUUCUGUUAAUGUACAAUGAACAUCUCAUAAUCAAGAAACAGUUUGUUCUAUGGACAUUGCCGUAUUUAUUAAAAGAUUGUGUUAAUGGUUGCUGAUUAUCCUGAAAUGAACGACAGAACUUACAUGGUAGUAAAUUCAUGACAAGUACAGUAGUAAUAAUUCUAAAGUAGGCUGAGGUCUGUAAAAACUCGGCUGAGAGUACUAAUACUAGUACAAAGUUAACAGCUCUACAUUUUUUUGUUUUUAUUUACUGAUUGUUUUAUGUUGUUUCUUUUAAUGAUCAAUU